UACAGAGGUCUCAAGCGUUGUUCGGAUUCAUUGGGCGUAAAGGGUGCGUAGGUGGCGCCAUAAGUCAGGUGUGAAAUCCCUCGGCUUAACCGGGGAACUGCGUCUGAUACUGGAUGGCUUGAGAUUGGGAGAGGGAUGCGGAAUUCCAGGUGUAGCGGUGAAAUGCGUAGAUAUCUGGAGGAACACCGGUGGCGAAGGCGACAUCCUGGACCAAUACUGACGCUGAGGAGCGAAAGCGUGGGGAGCGAACAGG
rnacentral:rRNA from 1 species